rnacentral:sRNA from 1 species
GGGUAUGUCCCGGUUUCGAAGAGGCGAGAUGGCGGGGGGCAAUACGCGAGGGAUUCCGUCGAGUAAUUACAGCAUGCAUAAUAACAAGAACAAGUUCGCGCUCGCUAAGAGUAAGCAGCCCCGAGGUGAUGCGAAACCUGUGAAAAAGAAAA